UUGAACGCUGGCGGCAUGCCUUACACAUGCAAGUCGAACGGCAGGCGGACCGUUCGGGUGCCGGCGAGUGGCGAACGGGUGAGUAAUAUAUCGGAACGUACCUUCAGGUGGGGGAUAACGUAGACGAAAGUUACGCUAAUACCGCAUAUUCUGUGAGCAGGAAAGCAGGGGAUCGCAAGACCUUGCGCUGAUUGAGCGGCCGAUAUCAGAUUAGCUAGUUGGUGAGGUAAAGGCUCACCAAGGCGACGAUCUGUAGCGGGUCUGAGAGGAUGAUCCGCCACACUGGAACUGAGGCACGGUCCAGACUCCUACGGGAGGCAGCAGUGGGGAAUUUUGGACAAUGGGCGCAAGCCUGAUCCAGCCAUGCCGCGUGAGUGAAGAAAGCCUUCGGGUUGUAAAGCUCUUUCGGCCGGGAAGAAAUCGCACGGGUUAAUACCCUGUGUGGAUGACGGUACCGGAAUAAGAAGCACCGGCUAACUACGUG
rnacentral:rRNA from 1 species